UUAGGACGAACGCUGGCGGCGUGCCUAAUACAUGCAAGUCGAACGGUCUUUCUAUGGAAGCUUGCUUCCACUGAGAAGAUAGUGGCGAACGGGUGAGUAACACGUGGGUAACCUGCCCAUAAGAGGGGGAUAACAUCCGGAAACGGGUGCUAAUACCGCAUAGUUUUCUUGAUCGCAUGAUUGAGAAAGGAAAGACGGCCUUUGUGCUGUCGCUUAUGGAUGGACCCGCGGCGUAUUAGUUAGUUGGUGAGGUAACGGCUCACCAAGACGAUGAUACGUAGCCGACCUGAGAGGGUGAUCGGCCACAUUGGGACUGAGACACGGCCCAAACUCCUACGGGAGGCAGCAGUAGGGAAUCUUCCGCAAUGGACGAAAGUCUGACGGAGCAACGCCGCGUGAGUGAAGAAAGGUUUUCGGAUCGUAAAACUCUGUUGUCAGAGAAGAACAAGUUGGAGAGUAACUGCUCCAGCCUUGACGGUAUCUGACCAGAAAGCCACGGCUAACUACGUGCCAGCAGCGGC
rnacentral:rRNA from 1 species